GCAUGGUGCUAUUAACAUACUAACCAACCCAGGGCUCGGCUGGGGCGCUGUGGCGUGUGAAAAGGUGCUGGCCUUCUGCCAACCGACUAACCCACUAACCAGCCCCAAGCAUGCCCAACUAACUCCGCACAGCCAAACCCUACUAACC
ensembl:misc_RNA